UUAAGUGAACAAGGGCAUACGGCGGAUGCCUUGGCGCCAAGAGCCGAAGAAGGACGCGGUAAGCUGCGAAAAGGCAUGGGUAGGAGCAAGCAUCCUGUGAUCCAUGCAUAUCCGAAUGGGGCAACCCACCAUCAGUCAUGUGAUGGUACGAAAGAGGCAGACCUGGGGAACUGAAACAUCUAAGUACCCAGAGGAAAAGUAAUCAAUUGAGAUUCCCUAAGUAGCGGCGAGCGAAAGGGGAAGAGCCCAAACCAGAUAACUUCGGUUGUCUGGGGUUGAGGACCGGCAUAAAGAGGAAACUUCUUAGUCGAAUGGUUUGGAAAGGCCAUGCAUAGAAGGUAAAACACCUGUAGGCGAAAAGAAGUCAAUCGGGCUGGUAUCCAGAGUACUGCGAGACACGUGAAACCUUGCAGGAAGCAGGGGGGACCACCCUCCAAGGCAAAAUACUACUUGGCGACCGAUAGCGCAUAGUACCGUGAGGGAAAGGUGAAAAGAACCCCGGGAGGGGAGUGAAAUAGAACCUGAAACCGUAUGUCUACAAGCAGUCGAAGCACCUUAAGAGUGCGACGGCGUGCCUAUUGAAGAAUGAACCGGCGAGUUACAUUAUGUUGCGAGGUUAAGUGGGAGACACGGAGCCGAAGCGAAAGCGAGUCUUAAUAGGGCGACUAGUAACAUGGUGUAGACCCGAAACCGCAGUGAUCUAUCCAUGGUCAGGUUGAAGCGCAGGUAAAAAUGCGUGGAGGACCGAACCCGUGAGUGUUGAAAAACUUUGGGAUGAACCGUGGAUAGGGGUGAAAUGCCAAUCGAACGCGGAGAUAGCUGGUACUCCCCGAAAUAGCUUUAGGGCUAGCCUCAGGGAAGAUUAUAGACGGUAGAGCACUGAUCUGGCAAGGGGGCGUAAAGCCUACCGACCCUAGUCAAACUUCGAAUGGCUAUAAUUAAGACCCUGGGAGUCAGACUGCGAGUGAUAAGACCCGUAGUCAAGAGGGAAACAGCCCAGACCGCCGACUAAGGUCCCCAAUGCUGUACUAAGUGGAAAAGGAUGUAAGACUUCAUAAACAACCAGGAUGUUGGCUUAGAAGCAGCCACCAUUAAAAGAGUGCGUAAUAGCUCACUGGUCGAGAGGCCUUGCGCCGAAGAUGUCCGGGGCUCAAGUACAGAACCGAAGUCGCGGCAGGAUUUAUAAUUCUGGGUAGGGGAGCGUUGUAUAUCCGACUGAAGGUGUACCGGAAGGAGCGCUGGAGGAUAUACAAGAGAGAAUGCCGGUAUGAGUAGCGAAAAGAACAGUGAGAAUCUGUUCCACCGAAAGCCUAAGGUUUCCUGAGCAACGCUCGUCGACUCAGGGUAAGUCGGGACCUAAGCCGAGGCAAAAAGCAUAGGCGAUGGACAACAGGUUAAUAUUCCUGUACCGCUUCAAAUCGUUUGAGCAAUGGAGUGACACAGAAGGUAGCUUGAGCACGCGAAUGGAUGUGCGUGUCGAAGGUGGUAGGUUGCAGUAUAGGCAAAUCCGUACUGUAUAAGAUCGAGAACUGAUAGAUAGACGAUACUUCGGUAAAGUCAAAUUCAAGUGAGCCAUGCUGUCGAGAAAAGCUUCUAGUGAGAGAUGAGGCGCCCGUACCGAAACCGACACAGGUAGGCGGGGAGAGAAUCCUAAGGUGCGCGGGACAACCCUCGUUAAGGAACUCGGCAAAUUGUAUCCGUAACUUAGGGAUAAGGAUAGCCGGAGGAUGUGAAGGGAUUUACUUCUGGAGCGUCAGCCGGUGGCACAAGAGAGGCCCAAGCGACUGUUUAGCACAAACACAGGUGCCUGCAAAAGAGAAAUCUGACGUAUAGGUGCUGACACCUGCCCGGUGCUGGAAGGUUAAGAGGAGGGCUUAGAGGCAACUCGAAGGCUUGAAUUGAAGCCCCAGUAAACGGCGGCCGUAACUAUAACGGUCCUAAGGUAGCGAAAUUCCUUGUCGGGU
rnacentral:rRNA from 1 species